rnacentral:rRNA from 1 species
UAGGGAAUAUUAGUUAAUGUGCGAAAGCGCGAACUAGCAACGCCGCGCGUGCGAUGAAGGCCUUCGGGUUGUAAAGCACUUUUCCAAGGGACGAGGAAGGACGGUACCUUGGGAAUAAGCAUCGGCUAACUACGUGCCAGCAGCCGCGGUAAAACGUAGGAUGCAAGCGUUAUCCGGAUUUACUGGGCGUAAAGCGCGUGUAGGCGGUUCGGUAAGUUGGAUGUGAAAGCUCCCGGCUUAACUGGGAGAGGUCGUUCAAUACUGCCGAGCUAGAGGAUGGUAGAGGAAGGUGGAAUUCCGAGUGUAGUGGUGAAAUGCGCAGAUAUUCGGAGGAACACCAGUGGCGAAAGCGGCCUUCUGGACCAUUUCUGACGCUCAUACGCGAAAGCUAGGGUAGCAAACGG